GACGAACGCUGGCGGCGUGCCUAAUACAUGCAAGUCGAACGCAGUUGCGAACGGGUGAGUAAUGCGUGGGUAACUGCCCUAUUUUGGGGGAUAACCAUUGGAAACGAUAGCUAAUACCGCAUACUGUGAGAUGGACCUGCGUUGGAUUUGCUAGUUGGGGAGGUAAAGGCUCACAAAGGCGACGAUACAUAGCCGACCUGAGAGGGUGAGCGAGCACACUGGGACUGAGACACGGCCCAGACUGCUACGGGAGGCAGCAGUAGGGAGUCUUCGGAAAUGGACGGAAAUCGGACAAAGCAACGCCGCGUGAGUGAAGAAGGUUUUCGGAGGGUAAAGCGCUGUUAUCAGAGAAGCGGUAACUAACCAGAAAGCGACGGCUAACUACGUGCCAGCAGCCGCGGUAAUAC
rnacentral:rRNA from 1 species